ACACUACUGUAAUACUUUAUAUCUAAACAAAUAUUGGCUAGCAUAGCUAAAAUGUAGGUUAAAUAUUUAACACUAUUAAUUGUGUUACUGUUAAAAAAGCAAAGCACAGAUUAUACUUUAAAGUUAAUAAUGGAAAGGAAUGUAAAUUUACCGAAAUUAUACUUACCUAUUUGUAAAAUACUUCACCUAUAUGGCUAUAUAACAAAAUAAUUGUACUUAUUAUUGUUAAGUAGAUAGUGAAGGUGUAUGUUUCGGUUGGUUUAGAGCUAAAAGCCAGACAAAACUGUAGGAAUUGUUAUUUGACGGAUUUCAAGUUUGACAACAAAGAUUCUUUAGG